UCCCAGGUGGCUCAGUCGGUAAAGAAUCUGCCUGCAAUGCAGGAGAUACAGGUUCAAUCCCUGUGUCGGGAA
rfam:TPA: Bos taurus chromosome 25, whole genome shotgun sequence.